rnacentral:ncRNA from 1 species
CAGCGCAGUAACACGAGAGGAACCGUUCCCGUGGGGCAUCCCAUGGGAGGCACGAAUAAAGGUCUCUCGGCCUAACAGCUUGUUGGUAUGGGUAACGGCCUACCAAGGCGACGACGGGUACCGAACCUGAGAGGGUGAUCGGGCGCAAGCUGUAAGACUCGGGAUGAAUGCCUUCGGGUU